UUAGAGCCGAGUGGCGAACGGGUGAGUAACGCGUGAAUAACCUGCCUAUAAGUUGGGGACAACCAUUCUAACGGAUGGCUAAUACCGAAUAUCAUUAUUAAUCCGCAUGGAUAUAUAAUUAAAGGCCUUCGGGUCGCUUAUAGAUGGAUUCGCGUACUAUUAGUUAGUUGGUGAGGUAAUGGCUCACCAAGACAGUGAUAGUUAGCCGGCCUGAGAGGGUGAUCGGCCACAUUGGGACUGAGAUACGGCCCAGACUCC
rnacentral:rRNA from 1 species